rnacentral:lncRNA from 1 species
CUGGGACACCCUGUAAAUCCAUUGUAUACAUGCAUUACAUGUUAUACAUACAUGUUAUAUACAUGCAUGAGUUGUGGUCCAUGAUCCAUUUGCUAAAACUCCAUUUUUACUUUGCAGCAUUGGUUGUAGGAGUGUGGUAUUACAAAAAAAGAUCAUCUGUGGAUCAUUUCUCUUGUCCUACCGAGUCUUAGUGUCCUCCUGCUUUCAUAAAGUGGAGGAAUGCCUAACGUGAAUGAGGUGGAUCAAUCCUACGCUGAACCAUGGAUGCCUGCAGCAAGUGCAGCGAGAGAUUCUUCUUCUCCAGGUCAUUUAUGUGUGUCUGUUUUAAGGUAAAUUCAGCAGGUACUGCUGGUUUCCCAAGAUGCAGAUAAACCAUGAAAUUGCACUUCAGAAUAGAUUAUUCUGCUUGAUCUGUGUCUAGAAUCAAUAUAUUUUGUAUGUUUUUGCUUAUUUGUUGUUAAAUCAUAUCUUAUUUAGGAAGACUUGUGUGUAUGUGUGCUUCAGUAGUCACGACAAGUUCUUAAAAACUAAUAUUCAGCAUCAGCAGCCAGAGCCUGAGCGAGCUGGAUAUCUGGAGCUUUCCACCAAGUAUGUGCAUUAACUGCCUAGUGAUGCUGCAUUAGUGCCAGUUCCAAAAGAAAGAGGCUUU